UACGAAGGGGGCUAGCGUUGUUCGGAAUCACUGGGCGUAAAGCGCACGUAGGCGGAUCUUUAAGUCAGGGGUGAAAUCCCGAGGCUCAACCUCGGAACUGCCUUUGAUACUGGGGAUCUCGAGUCCGGGAGAGGUGAGUGGAACUGCGAGUGUAGAGGUGAAAUUCGUAGAUAUUCGCAAGAACACCAGUGGCGAAGGCGGCUCACUGGCCCGGAACUGACGCUGAUGCGCGAAAGCGUGGGGAGCAAACGGG
rnacentral:rRNA from 1 species